AGUGAACGCUGGCGGUAGGCCUAACACAUGCAAGUCGAACGGCAGCACAGUAAGAGCUUGCUCUUACGGGUGGCGAGUGGCGGACGGGUGAGGAAUACAUCGGAAUCUACUUUUGCGUGGGGGAUAACGUAGGGAAACUUACGCUAAUACCGCAUACGACCUACGGGUGAAAGCAGGGGAUCUUCGGACCUUGCGCGAUUGAAUGAGCCGAUGUCGGAUUAGCUAGUUGGCGGGGUAAAGGCCCACCAAGGCGACGAUCCGUAGCUGGUCUGAGAGGAUGAUCAGCCAAACUGGAACUGAGACACGGUCCAGACUCCUACGGGAGGCAGCAGUGGGGAAUAUUGGACAAUGGGCGCAAGCCUGAUCCAGCCAUACCGCGUGGGUGAAGAAGGCCUUCGGGUUGUAAAGCCCUUUUGUUGGGAAAGAAAAGCAGCAGGUUAAUACCCCGCUGUUCUGACGGUACCCAACGAAUAAGCACCGGCUAACUUCGUG
rnacentral:rRNA from 1 species